CAUUCUUAACUGCAUCCUGGGGUGUAUUUGCGAUUGCACUGGCUGUAGGUUCUUUGGUACCUCCCCAUUGAACAUUCCGGGUGGUAACAUUGACUUUUUAUAAUUAUUUUUUAUAGUUUUGACCUUUUAGUGUAUGAAAAACUGUUCAACUUUGAAGGACAACUCCUUCAUCUGAUAGCCACACUUCUAAAGCGCGCUAUUAGCGCCUUUUGUUUGCAGAGCGAUUGUAAAACAAAUACGAACACAAAAUCACGUUACGAGGACAUUUGGUCAGUAUGCUACUUAGUUGUGUGAAGCUUAAAAAGAAUGAAACUGGAUGGAUGACUUGGCAUCAACCUUGGCACCAGAAAUGACAGCAGCAAACUCAGCCCUGUCAACCCUGUACACCUUAAGCUCUCGCUUUCACGAACCGGCCAUUGCUGAAGACUGGAGCCUGCCGAGGACUGAGGCUUUCUCCAACUUCCGAGUGUGACACCCCUGAAUAAGUCUGUUGCUAUCCGAGGUUGUGUGUUUUAUCAUUAGUUAUGCAUGUUGGUCAGUUAGCUUGAAUAUUAAAACUCCUGUGGGUUCUAAUGCAACAACAUUGCAAAAAUAGGCAAAGUAGAACAUUCGUGCCAUUCUAAUUUAAGAGUUAGAAUUGAUCCCUGUGGUCCUGAUAGUGCAUUGCCACUAUUUACCCAUACACUUUAAUGCAUGGCUGCUCUGCAUACUACCUUACAUCAUGCUGUAAUCUUUUGCUAUAAAUUCUGUAUCUUAUGAUCUUAUACUCCACAACCAUCUGUUGAAGGAGCAGCACUCCAAAAGCUAGUGCUUCCAAAUAAACCUGUUGGAUUAUAA